AUGAUAGGUGUAUUUUGGAAUGUCAGAGGACUAAAUGGAUCCUCCAAAAGCACUAGGGUGCAGGAGCUCAUUAGAGCACAUCACCCUAAUUUUAUUUGUCUUUCUGAAUGAAAAAAGGAAAAUUUUACCAGUCCCCAACUAGAGGCCAUAGAUGUUGGCCUUGAAUUUGUGUGGAACUGGCUUCCAGCUGUGAAUACUGCUGGAGGGGUGUUGGUGGGUGUGAAAGAUGAUGUGUUUGAAAUUUUUAGUUAUGACAUUCACAUCUUUAGUGUUGCUCUUAUGCUGAGAAAUAAAAUAGAAAACAACAUAUGGAGACUAAUUUCUGUGUAUGCUUUUUCUUAUGAUGCUUUUAAACUAGAAUUUAUUCAAGAGCUGCAUAGUGUUUUUGAUAUGUGGGAUGGCCCUACUAUGAUAGGUGGGGAUUUUAAUCUAGUCGGAGAGGCUUGUGACAAAAAUACUGGUGAGAUAAACCAGCAUUGGGCAGAUCUCUUUAAUGACUGGAUUAAUAAAUUUGGCCUUAUUGAGCUCAAAAACUCAGGGAGGAAAUUUACUUGGGGUAACAACUAG
rnacentral:rRNA from 1 species